ACCGGAAUUAAUACCGGAUAUGACCUCGGCCGACAUCGGCCGUGGUGGAAAGAUUUAUCGGCCAGGGAUGGGCUCGCGGCCUAUCAGCUUGUUGGUGGGGUAACGGCCUACCAAGGCGACGACGGGUAGCCGGCCUGAGAGGGCGACCGGCCACACUGGGACUGAGACACGGCCCAGACUCCUACGGGAGGCGGCAGUGGGGAAUAUUGCGCAAUGGGCGAAAGCCUGACGCAGCGACGCCGCGUGGGGGAUGAAGGCCUUCGGGUUGUAAACCCCUUUCGGCAGGGACGAAGCGAAAGUGACGGUACCUGCAGAAGAAGCGCCGGCUAACUACGUGCCAGCAGCCGCGGUAACACGUAGGGCGCAAGCGUUGUCCGGAAUCAUUGGGCGUAAAGAGCUCGUAGGCGGUCUGUUACGUCUGCUGUGAAAACUCGGGGCUUAACCCCGAGCUUGCAGUGGAUACGGGCA
rnacentral:rRNA from 1 species